rnacentral:rRNA from 1 species
GACGUAGGGGCCAGCGUUGUUCGGAAUUACUGGGUGUAAAGGGUUCGUAGGCGGUGCGGCAAGUUGGGAGUGAAAUCUCUGGGCUUAACCCAGAGGCUGCUUCCAAAACUGCUGUGCUUGAGUGUGGAGAGGCGCGUGGAAUUGCAGGUGUAGCGGUGAAAUGCGUAGAUAUCUGCAGGAACACCGUGGCGAAAGCGGCGCGCUGGACCACUACUGACGCUGAGGAACGAAGCUAGGGAGCAAACAGGAAUAGAUACC